GACGAACGCUGGCGGCGUGCUUAACACAUGCAAGUCGAACGGAAAGGCCCUGCUUUUGUGGGGUGCUCGAGUGGCGAACGGGUGAGUAACACGUGAGUAACCUGCCCUUGACUUUGGGAUAACUUCAGGAAACUGGGGCUAAUACCGGAUAGGAGCUCCUGCUGCAUGGUGGGGGUUGGAAAGUUUCGGCGGUUGGGGCUGGACUCGCGGCUUAUCAGCUUGUUUGUGGGGUAGUGGCUUACCAAGGCUUUGACGGGUAGCCGGCCUGAGAGGGUGACCGGCCACAUUGGGACUGAGAUACGGCCCAGACGCCAACGGGAGGCAGCGGUGGAGAAUAUUGCGCAAUGGGCGGAAGCCAGUUGCGGCAGCGCCGCGUGCGGGAUGACGUCCUUCGGGUUGUAAACCGAUUUCGCCGGUGACGAAGCGUGAGUGACGGUAAUGGGUAAGGAAGCACCGGCUAACUACGUG
rnacentral:rRNA from 1 species